UUUUUGGAGAGUUUGAUCCUGGCUCAGGAUGAACGCUGGCGGCGUGCCUAAUACAUGCAAGUCGAGCGGGAGAAUCAUCCUCCGGGAUGAGGAUCCAGCGGCGAACGGGUGAGUAACACGUGGGCAACCUGCCCGCAAGACCGGGAUAACUCCGGGAAACCGGGGCUAAUACCGGAUAGGCCUUUUCCCUGCAUGGGGAAAAGGGGAAAG
rnacentral:rRNA from 1 species